rnacentral:lncRNA from 1 species
UGACUCCCAGUCAGGGGCGUUGCCUGGUGCCUUCCUGCCUCCCUGGGAUCCAACAUGGCGCCCAUCACCCAGGCCAGCUUCGUCCCCUCAGGCUUCUCCGUGGGUGUCAGACUUGUCAGGGACCACCAGAGCUGUCAGGCGUCCUUGUCUGCUAUGAACUCGGGAUGCCUCUUGCUCACUGAGGCAUUAUCCUCCAACAAGUGACUGGUUAAUUCCUUAAUCACCUGUUUGAGUCGUCCCUCUGCAUACCAGGCCUCACUUCCUAUUUCCUCGUGGUUCUGAGAUGGUCGGAAAGCAGGGAGCAGAAAAUCUUUCUUUAGCAUCAGUUUGAUGAGAUGCUGGAUGUCUUACCUCUCACAGGCAGCAGGGGUUACCUACUUUUCACCCCAUUGAAGGUCCAGUCCAGC